GACUGCACGGCAGCGAGGGGAUUGUGGAUCUUAUAUUAAUGUUUUUGUGUCGAGGCAGUGCAUUAGCACUACAGGUGCUUGUUACAUGAGCAAGGGGGUGUCAUAUUUUGAGUGUCAUGUCUGCAUUAGGAAUGCUGCAUUUGUCUUCCCAGGCUGCGGUGUGGAUCUCGCACUGCGGCCGCCUCACCUUGGCUGGGGAGAACCUCGGUGGGCAGGAUUCAGAGGGGCUUUUGGUUUCCCGUUUUCCACACUGAACCCUUCUAACUGGUCUCUGACCCUGAUUAUUCAGGGCUGCAAACAGGAAGGAUUUUAUUCACCGUCGAUGCGGCCCCGAGUUGUCCCAAAGCGAGGCAGUGCCCCCAAGGUCCGUGCUGAGGAGAACGCUGCUCUGCCUUUGCGGUGUCCCCCGGGUCUAUGCUGAGCAGAACGCAGCUCCGCCCUCGCGGUGCCCCCGGCCCGCCCGGGUCUGUGCCAAGGAGAACACUGCUCCGCCUUCGCUGUAUCUCCGAAGUCUGUGCAGAGGAGAACUCAGCUCCGCCCUCGCGAUGCUCUCCGAGUCUGUGCUGAGCACAACGCAGCUCCGCCCUCGCAAAGGCACAGCGCGGGCGCAGGCGCGGGGCGGUGCACAGCGCGGGCGCAGGCGCCGAGAGGCGCACAGGAGACCUCAGGCCCAGGCUCCACUCCCCAGCUGUGAAAGGACUGCUGGCCAGACCCCCAAGCUAGCCCGCCAGGCCUCCAUAGAGCUGCCCAGCAUGGCUGCGUCCAGUACCAAAAGUUGGUGGGAGACGGGUGAGGUACAGGCUCAGUCUGCAGCCAAGACUCCGUCCUGCAAGGAUAUUGUGGCUGGAGACAUGAGCAAGAAAAGCCUCUGGGAGCAGAAGGGAGGCUCCAAGACCUCAUCAACAAUUAAGACUCUUUGGCAGUUGCACUGGGUACUGGCUGAGUUCUGGAAAACAGGAAUGUGAGCAGAGUGCUGCAGAUCUCCUUGUCAGGAGCACCUAAGAGCUGGCAUGACUCUACACCCUCUCUCCUUCUGCAAUGACCUCGUGUCAAGAUGGCAGACCUGCAGAGAUGAAUGUGCCUGGAUACCUGAGUCACCAGGUGGAGGAAACUCCCAUUGACAUGCAUCACACUCCACAUAUGAAACCCUUCUUUUUCUGCACUGUCACUGGGGUUAGGGAUUAUUACUCACUGCAACUUAGCCAAGCAUUAAGUUGCUUGACUAAUACAAGUUUCAAUAAAUGUCGCUUCAUUUC
rnacentral:lncRNA from 1 species